rnacentral:rRNA from 1 species
UGGGGAAUAUUGCACAAUGGGCGCAAGCCUGAUGCAGCCAUGCCGCGUGUGUGAAGAAGGCCUUCGGGUUGUAAAGCACUUUCAGCGGGGAGGAAGGCGAUAAGGUUAAUAACCUUGUCGAUUGACGUUACCCGCAGAAGAAGCACCGGCUAACUCCGUGCCAGCAGCCGCGGUAAUACGGAGGGUGCAAGCGUUAAUCGGAAUUACUGGGCGUAAAGCGCACGCAGGCGGUCUGUCAAGUCGGAUGUGAAAUCCCCGGGCUCAACCUGGGAACUGCAUUCGAAACUGGCAGGCUAGAGUCUUGUAGAGGGGGGUAGAAUUCCAGGUGUAGCGGUGAAAUGCGUAGAGAUCUGGAGGAAUACCGGGGGCGAAGGCGGCCCCCUGGACAAAGACUGACGCUCAGGUGCGAAAGCGUGGGGAGCAAACAGG